rnacentral:rRNA from 1 species
GAUGAACGCUGGCGGCGUGCCUAAUACAUGCAAGUCGAACGAAACUUCUUUAUCACCGAGUGCUUGCACUCACCGAUAAAGAGUUGAGUGGCGAACGGGUGAGUAACACGUGGGCAACCUGCCCAAAAGAGGGGGAUAACACUUGGAAACAGGUGCUAAUACCGCAUAACCAUAGUUACCGCAUGGUAACUAUGUAAAAGGUGGCUAUACUACCGCUUUUGGAUGGGCCCGCGGCGCAUUAGCUAGUUGGUAGGGUAAAGGCUUACCAAGGCAAUGAUGCGUAGCCGAAUUGAGAGAUUGAUCGGCCACAUUGGGACUGAGACACGGCCCAAACUCCUACGGGAGGCAGCAGUAGGGAAUCUUCCACAAUGGGCGAAAGCCUGAUGGAGCAACGCCGCGUGGGUGAAGAAGGUCUUCGGAUCGUAAAACCCUGUUGUUAGAGAAGAAAGUGCGUGAGAGUAACUGUUCACGUUUCGACGGUAUCUAACCAGAAAGCCACUGCUAACUACGUG